rnacentral:rRNA from 1 species
GAUGAACGCUGGCGGCGUGCCUAAUACAUGCAAGUCGAGCGAAUGGAUUAAGAGCUUGCUCUUAUGAAGUUAGCGGCGGACGGGUGAGUAACACGUGGGUAACCUGCCCAUAAGACUGGGAUAACUCCGGGAAACCGGGGCUAAUACCGGAUAACAUUUUGAACCGCAUGGUUCGAAAUUGAAAGGCGGCUUCGGCUGUCACUUAUGGAUGGACCCGCGUCGCAUUAGCUAGUUGGUAAGGUAACGGCUCACCAAGGCAACGAUGCGUAGCCGGGCGGGGAGGGCGGACGACCACACUGGGACUGGGAAACGGCCCAGAGUCCUGCGGGAGGCAGCAGUAGGGAAUCUUCCGCAAUGGACGAAAGUCUGACGGAGCAACGCCGCGUGAGUGAUAAAGGCUUUCGUGUCGUAGAACUCUGUUGUUAGGGAAAAACAAGUGCUAGUUGAAUAAGCUGGCACCUUGACGGUACCUAACCAGAAAGCCACGGCUAACUACGGGCCAGCCGCCGCAGUAA